AGUGAACGCUGGCGGUAGGCCUAACACAUGCAAGUCGAACGGCAGCACAGUAAGAGCUUGCUCUUACGGGUGGCGAGUGGCGGACGGGUGAGGAAUACAUCGGAAUCUACUUUUUCGUGGGGGAUAACGUAGGGAAACUUACGCUAAUACCGCAUACGACCUACGGGUGAAAGCAGGGGAUCUUCGGACCUUGCGCGAUUGAAUGAGCCGAUGUCGGAUUAGCUAGUUGGCGGGGUAAAGGCCCACCAAGGCGACGAUCCGUAGCUGGUCUGAGAGGAUGAUCAGCCACACUGGAAAUGAGACACGGUCCAGACACCUACGGGAGGCAGCAGUGGGGAAUAUUGGACAAUGGGCGAAAGCCUGAUCCAGCCAUACCGCGUGGGUGAAGAAGGCCUUCGGGUUGUAAAGCCCUUUUGUUGGGAAAGAAAAGCAGCAGGUUAAUACCCCGCUGUUCUGACGGUACCCAAAGAAUAAGCACCGGCUAACUUCGUG
rnacentral:rRNA from 1 species